rnacentral:rRNA from 1 species
CCUACGGGGGGCUGCAGUCGAGAAUCAUUCACAAUGGGGGAAACCCUGAUGGUGCGACGCCGCGUGGGGGAAUGAAGGUCUUCGGAUUGUAAACCUCUGUCAUGUGGGAGCAAAUUAAAAAGAUAGUACCACAAGAGGAAGAGACGGCUAACUCUGUGCCAGCAGCCGCGGUAAUACAGAGGCCUCAAGCGUUGUUCGGAAUCACUGGGCGUAAGGCGUGCGUAGGCUGUUUCGUAAGUCGUGUGUGAAAGGCGCGGGCUCAACCCGCGGACGGCACAUGAUACUGCGAGACUAGAGUAAUGGAGGGGGAACCGGAAUUCGCGGUGUAGCAGUGAAAUGCGUAGAUAUCGAGAGGAACACUCGUGGCGAAGGCAGGUUCCUGGACAUUAACUGACGCUGAGGCACGAAGGCCAGGGGAGCGAAAGGGAUUAGAUACCCCUGUAGUC